rnacentral:rRNA from 1 species
AGAGUUUGAUCAUGGCUCAGGAUGAACGCUGGCGGCGUGCUUAACACAUGCAAGUCGAACGAAGCACCUUAUUCUGAUUUCUUCGGAAUGAAAAAUUUGGUGACUGAGUGGCGGACGGGUGAGUAACGCGUGGGUAACCUGCCUCAUACAGGGGGAUAACAGUUAGAAAUGACUGCUAAUACCGCAUAAGACCACAGCACCGCAUGGUGCAGGGGUAAAAACUCCGGUGGUAUGAGAUGGACCCGCGUCUGAUUAGGUAGUUGGUGGGGUAACGGCCUACCAAGCCGACGAUCAGUAGCCGACCUGAGAGGGUGACCGGCCACAUUGGGACUGAGACACGGCCCAAACUCCUACGGGAGGCAGCAGUGGGGAAUAUUGCACAAUGGGGGAAACCCUGAUGCAGCGACGCCGCGUGAGCGAUGAAGUAUUUCGGUAUGUAAAGCUCUAUCAGCAGGGAAGAAAAUGACGGUACCUGACUAAGAAGCACCGGCUAAAUACGUGCCAGCAGCCGCGGUAAUACGUAUGGUGCAAGCGUUAUCCGGAUUUACUGGGUGUAAAGGGAGCGUAGACGGAGUGGCAAGUCUGAUGUGAAAACCCGGGGCUCAACCCCGGGACUGCAUUGGAAACUGUCAAUCUGGAGUACCGGAGAGGUAAGCGGAAUUCCUAGUGUAGCGGUGAAAUGCGUAGAUAUUAGGAGGAACGCCAGUGGCGAAGGCGGCUUACUGGACGGUAACUGACGUUGAGGCUCGAAAGCGUGGGGAGCAAACAGGAUUAGAUACCCUGGUAGUCCACGCCGUAAACGAUGACUACUAGGUGUCGGGCAGCAAAGCUGUUCGGUGCCGCAGCAAACGC